GCCGCCUCGAGGGGGCCCUGCGGCGGGCGCGGCGGCGAGCCAGGAGGACGGCCUGCCCGCGCGCUGCUGCGCUGCUCGGCGCCCGGCCUGCUGCGGCCAUCGCCCCGCCAGACCCGCCGCUCGCCCAGCCAGAAGAAUUAACGAGUUUGCACAGUUUUAAGAACAAAGCCUUUAAGAAACCCAAGGUCUGUGGGGUUUGCAAGCAGAUUAUUGACAGCCAAGGGAUUUCAUGCCGAGCCUGCAGGUACUGCUACCACAAGCCAUGUGAACCUAAGGUGGUGACUCGCCGCGGUGUGCAGGUGUACCUGGGACAGGUAAGUCCUCGCUGUUCCCUGGGGCCCCGGCUUGUCAUGCGGGACUGUCUCUGUCUUGAUGUGGGACCCUCUUUGGGGCUGUCAGGCUCCCUCUGGACCUCAGACAGGACCCACUCCACUCACAGAGCCUCUGCAUGGACCCCGGGCCUCAGGCACUCGCCCUAGCACGCUUUCCCUAGUGACCAGAGCCAUGCCUGCCUUUC
rnacentral:lncRNA from 1 species